UAGCUGGCUGAGAAUUAGCUGUAGAGCAGGCUGUGUGACCGAGCCGUCUGUGUGCAGCCAUGUUCAGAAGCCCAGGGUUUUCCAGCUAUUUGGGAGCUUUCAAAUUCUCUGAGAAACAAGGCUUCUGCCUGUAACUAUUGAACAGCCAAAGGCACUUCCUUAGGGGAAGGAGUUUCUAUUUCAACAAUAAAAACUUAAGCUUCAUUGGAUUCCCACAUCAAAGGAAAGUUUCAAGAUAAAGUGGCCUUGUCUCAAGGACUGUUAAAUUUUGAAGAUUUGUCAUAGCUUUUAAAAUUAUUCUCUUGAAUAUCUAACUCUGAAGUUUCAAUGUUUAGCAAUAUGUUUUCUCCCUAGA
rnacentral:lncRNA from 1 species